CCUGUCAGUGAUGAUCCUUGUGCUUGAGCUUCACUGCUAUGAAAUCAUUUCACAUGCACUACCAUCUGAGACAGC